CCAGCUGAGCUCAGGUUUCCAUAUGGGAGCAGAGCCAGAAGGAGAGUACACAGAAACACAUGCGCACUGACUUAGUGUUGAGCUGCAGUCGGGUGCUCUACAUCAUGGGUGAAACACUUUGACUAAAUUAUGUAAAGUGUCAAAUAAAUGUUUCAUAGAACAGCACAGUUUACACUUGCCAAGGCUGUUUUUUUCCUGGGAAAAAGUGAUAAAAAAAGUCAUGAUUAUAAAUAAUCUACUUAGAUGAUUCAAUUAAAAUUUUGUUUUAAUAUUGUACACUUCAGUUUAUGUAUGUUUGUCCUUAUUAGUCACAAUUAGGCAAAAGAGGGUUCCUAUGUCAGGAACUACCAGCUGUCAUGCAGGUUUGAACUUGUUGUAUGUCAUCUUGUGUUGAGACUGACGACUGGAUGUGGUGGACAUCUGUUGGGUCUUGCCCUUCUUGACACCAUUUGGAGAAUGACAGCUGAGUGGGUGCGUGCUCAGAUGAUGACAGAGAAGCUUUCUAAAAAUAGCCGUUGUCAAUCACAGUUCGCUCAGGUCUGAAAAUAGCCACAAAUGGAUGUAGGAGGUGAGGUCAUUUUUUGAGCAUAUGUCCAGCUGACUUAGAGACUCAACAUGUAGACUGGAGUCAGCAUCCUUGUCUUUUUACACUGUGGGGUUAAGAUGAACAAACACAUGGUUUUCUCUGGACCCUUAUAUAAAUGCACUCAUUGAGAAAAAAAAGAUGAUAAAAUAAUCUGAUGGAUUUUAAUUACUGAAAAACCUGCUAACAGCUGAGGGGCAGCUUCACCCAGACAGAUUGUUACAGCGUGAGAACAUCAACAAGAGGGUUUAACCUAAAUCUCCGGGGCAACACAGCUCCCAUCAUGCACUCUGCACAGUUCCAGUGGGAUGACAUUUAAAUACAAUGCUGUCCUCCCUUGCGCCAUAAUUACUCCCUUGAGUGUGUGUUUUUGGUCGCUGGGUUGCAUCAGUUUAAAGCACUCUCAUUUAUUUUCAUUCCUUUACUGAAUUCUUUCAGUGAAUUUUGCUCCUCUGUGUCCGCGGAGUGUCCUCUGCCCUAGACCCUAGAGAUUAAGAUAGAUUAAUGGGGGAUUAUGUUAUAAAAUAGGGGGAGGGAAGGAUGUAUUAAACCC